UUGGGCUCAGCUCAUCUGGUAAUCUUGGAAGUGGCCUGGCCUUUGGCGCUUCCUCUGAGAUUUAAAUCUCAGACCGGGUCAUCGCAGUUGAGCUGCCUUGAACCAACAGGACCGUCGUCCAGCCCCAAAUCAGACGCUGCUAGGGAUUGGUCGCCAGCGAUUCUCCCAAUGUUGGCUGAUAUUGCUCCAUAGUCGACCAGCAUCGUAACAUUUUCCCCCUCUUCAGACACGACCUUGUCCUCAAGGUUUAAUGACGGAAAAAGUGCUCCAAUCUCAGCCACGUUCUCCCAUGAGAAGUCUUCUAGUAAUGAUCCACUCCACUGCAUGAGUAUCUGUUUUUCUUUGUAUUUCCCUUUCUAAAUGACCCUUGAAUCUAGUAUUGCUAUUUGAUAUAUCACAGGGCGAUUUUCCACAGCAAUUAGUGGGUUUGCAGCAGUAACAUUUUCAGGGUUAUCACCUUGAAAUUUCUUCAAUCUUGACACAUGAAAGGUAUUAUGAAUCUUGCUUUCAUUCGGUAACUUUAAUUGAUAUGCAGCCUUGUUGAUUACUUUCUGAAUUUGAUAUGGUCCAAAGAAUUUUUGUCCCAAUUUAUUGUGGAGUCUAUGAGCCACCGAUUCUUGUCUAUAUGGUUGUAAUUUUACCCAUACCCACUCACCUUCUUCAAACAGUAUAUCGGUCCUCUUUUUAUCGGCUUGCAGCUUCAUUCUAUCUUGUGCCUUCUUUAAGUUCUCUUUCAUUAGGGCCAAGGUGUUCUCUCUUAGUUGAAGAUUCAUAUCCACAGCUUCAAUCUCUGAAUUUCCAGUUGUGUAAUGUUUUACUUCAGAAGCUUCCUUCCCAUACAAUGCCUUGAAGGGAGUUAUUCCUAGUGAUGAAUGGUACCCGGAAUUGUAUCAUAAUUCAGCCCAAGGUAGCAACUGUAAACAUUUCUUAGGAUCUUCAUGACAGUAGGACCUCAGAUACAUCUCUAAGGUUCUGUUAACAACCUCUGUUUGGCCAUCAGUUUGGGGAUGGAGGCAGAAGAAUAUAGUAAUUUUGUCCCACUUAACCUGUGAAUUUCUUUCCAAAAUUUAGAAGUAAAUAUUUUAUCUCUAUCACUUACAAUUGUAGAAGGAAUGCCAUGGAGCUUGAUGACAUCUUUGAGGAAUAUUUCAGCCACCUUUACUGCAUUGAAGUUUGGAUUUAAUGGGCUGAAGUGAGCAUACUUAGUAAGUCUAACCACCACUACCAUUAUUACUGUCUUCCCUUCUAUCUUGGGCAAUUCAGUUAUGAAAUCCAUAGUUAUAUCCUUCCAAGGCUCUGAAGGAAUGGGUAGUGGCAUAAGUAGCCUUGUUGGUUUCUGGUUUGAGGGUUUCAUCUGUUGGCAAGUUAUGCAUUCCUUCACAUGGUUAAAAAUAGAAUUUUCCAUUUUGGCCCAAUGAAAUAUUUUAGAUAUUCUCUUUUUGGUUUUGAGUAGACCAACAUGUCCCCCUACUAAUGAGUUGUGGAACUUCCAUAAAAUCUUGGGAAUAAGUUCAGAGUCCUCCUUGAGAUAGUAUCUGUCUUUAUAUAAUAGAAAACCCCCAUUAAUUCUGAAUUCAUUAUAGCCAUUUUCUCCAUUUUCUGUUUUCUGAAAUAUUUCCUGCACUUUAGUAUCUUUGCUAUUUUCUUCUUUUAGCUCUUCUAAUAUAGUAUUUAUGGAGACAGUAAGUGAUAAUAGGGAUCCAGGAGAGUCUUCAGAUCCACUGUGAAAUAUUACUUCUUCCUCCCCUUCCUCAAAGGACCUGGAUAGUGCAUAAGCCACUAUGUUUUCCUUGCCUGGCUUAUAUAGUAUUGAGAAAUCAAAACCUAACAAUUUGACAAUAAAAACUUGCUACUCAGGAGUUUGUAUAACCUGAGUUAGAAGGUUCUUGAGGCUCUUGUGGUCUGUUUUGAUUAAAAAGUGAGACCCCAAGAGGUAAUAUCUCCAUUUGGCCACUGCUUGAGUGAUGACAUACAUUUCCUUUAUGUAAAUUGCUGCUGAACUUAAUUUUCUUGAUAUCUUUCUACUGAAAAAUGAGAUAGGAUGAUGUUCUUGUAUUAGGACUGCCCCCACACCACUCUUGCAAGCAUCAGUCUCAAUAGUGAACUGUUUGCUAAAAUCAAGAAAUUUCAAAACUGGUGCUGAGACCAUAGCUAACUUUAACUUCUCAAAACUGCUCUGUGUCAAUUCAACCCAUUUAAAACAAUCUUUCUUUAGUAAAUCAGUCAUAGGAGAAGCUAUUUCAGCAUAGCCCUUAAUGAACCUCCUAUAGUAGCCAGUCAGCCCGAGAAACCCCCUUAGCAUUUUUAGAUUUUUGGGAAUUGCCCACUCCACCAUGACUGUGAUUUUCUCUGGAUCUGGGUGUAUUCCAUCAGACUUGAUGAUGUGACCUAAAAAUCCCCUAGAAUCCUGCCCAAAAGAACAUUUCGAUAAUUUUGCUAAUAAUUUAUUUCUUCUCAAGAUUUCAAACACUGUCUUGAGAUGCUUUAGAUGGUCUUGUAGGGAUGCACUGUAUACUAGUAUGUCAUAAAAGAAUAUUAUAACAAACCUCCUCAAAUAUUUAGCAAAAACUGAAUUCAUCACAGACUGAAAAGUUGUUGGAGCAUUUGUGAGCCCAAAUGGCAUCACUAGAAAUUCAAAGUGACCUUGAUGGGUCCUGAAUGCAGUUCUUUCAGUGUGUGGAGGAUGUACCCUGAUCUGAUGAAACCCAGACCUCAGAUCCAACUUUGAGAAGAUUUUCGAACCUUUGAGCUCACCAAGCAUCUCAUCAACAGUUGGAAUUGGGAAUUUAUCCUUGAUGGUUAAGGCAUUGAGUGCCCUAUAGUCCACACAUAACCGGUACCCCCCAUCUUUUUUUUGACUAACAAUACUGGGGAUGAGUAAGGACUAGUGCUCACCUUAUAAUAAUCUCCUGGUUUAACAUCUCAGUAAUCAAUUUCUCAAUUUUAGAUUUUUGAAACUGAGGAUAUCUGUAGGGUCUAACAUUCACGGGAUUUGAUUUUGGUUCGAGAUGGAUGUACUGAUCCCUGUCCCUCUGAGGUGGAAGGCCUCCGGGUGAUUCAAAAAUAUCAGAAAAUUCUUGCACUAUUUCAGUCAAUUCCUUGUUGCUGGAAUUUAGAACACCUAUCUCUGAAACAUCAUCUACCUUCUUCAUAUAGCAUAGGUAAGCUUCUUGAGUGGAUGCAAUUAAACACUUUAGUUGUACUGACGACAGAGGAUCUUCUGAUAUCCAUGGACAACCAUGCCAUGUUACUGUUUAUUUGUUUCUUUCAAAUUUCAUCCAAAGCUUGACAAAAUCGAAAGUGACAGGUCCUAGAGCUUUUAGACCUUGAAUCUCAAUUACCAUAUUCUAUCCAGCCAUGGGCAGUAGAAAUAUGUCCAUUUUCACAGUUGUAUCUUGGAUUUUAAUCUCUACAUCUUUACAUACUCUGUCACAUGUAAGCUUCUCCCCACUUCCUGUUGAAACUUUGAAGGGUAUAAUUACAUGAAUAACAAGUUUUAAUGCAUUAGCUACUUCCACUUGCAUAAAAUUAUGAGUGGAUCCCGUAUCCACUAGUAUACUAAUGCAUUGGCAUUUGAUGAAACCAUCCAAUCUGAUUGUAUUUAAAUUUAUGUGGCCUUCAAAAGAACAUAAACUGAUUUCAGUUUGGUCCCCUUGUAUGAUCUGAAUAUUUUCCUCAGGUUCCCCAUUCUCCACCUUAAUUUCAUUAUCAUCUUCAAUCUCCCAAAAGCAUGAUUGAUCAGCAGACAAUCUGAAUAUUCUUCCCUUGCAUUUGUGGCCAGUGAUAUACUUGUCAUCACAAUUAAAACACAAUCCUUUGGCUGUCCUUUCUUUUCUUUCAGCAGGAGAUAAUCUUUUAAAUACAGGGGCUGUUGUGGUUGUUUCUUUUGUAUCUGCAUUAGUAGGGUCAGCCUUGGGGCUGAAUGAUACCACUUUAGGGUUCUUUGGGAUGUAAAGCUUGUAACUUUCUCCUUUAAACCCUGGUAUUCUAGAUUCCACCAUCAAAGACAACUCAAACGUUUCAUGGAUAUCGGCUGGUUUAUCUCUCAUUACUUUAGUUUGGAUCUCUUCUUUAAGACCUGAGAUAUACAUCUUCAAUAUGAAGUAUUCUGGAAGCCCUAGUACUCUGGUACACAAUUCUUCAAACAAAGCAUGAUAUUCAGCCACAAAUCCCUCUUGGCAGAGCUUGCUUAGUUUUCCCCCGGGUAGCUUGUAGUGCCAAGUGGUGAAUUUUCUGAUCACAGCAUCAAUAAAUUUUUUCCAAGUAGAUAGCAUGUUGCUUGCUUCUAACCAAGCAAACCAUUUUUUUGCUAUACCAUCAAGAUGAAAUGACACGAUUAAAAGUUUUUGAUCCUCUGGGAUCUUAUUGAAAAUAAAGUACCUCCUUACAGAAAAUAACCAUCCUUCUGCAUCUUUCCCAUCAAAUCUUGGCAUAUUGACUCUAAUGUGUUUUGCCGGGGUGUAUGCGUCAUUGUCAAGAAUGCUACUAGCGUAGGCUGGUCUGUCUAGAUCCACCAUAGAUUGAUGAAAUUGGUGACUAGUGGUUUUUCUCGGACUGGAGUCUUUUAAAUCAGCCUCCACUGAAAUUUUAUCGAGUGGCUUCUCUUUAAUUGCAACACAAACUUCAGCUAUUUGCUUGCUCAGCUCCAAGAUGUUAUUGUUAACUAGUGCCUUAAAUUCGCUCAUCUCCUUUAUCUGAGACAUUUGCAGAUUUUGUAGCCUCUGAAAAUCUGGAUUAUUAGAUAAAUCCAUAGUAUUUGGCGACAUCCUGAAAAUAAGAGUUCAAAUGUUGAAAACACCAAUGAUACGAGACUAUCUCAAAUAUUUCCAACAGAACAACCCGACCUGGAGGAUCGAGAUGCCUUAGAGCCAAGAUCGGAAUCUUGGGUGUCCAAGGCGCAAGCAGCGGGAUUAAUUAAUCCCUGAAAUUGUGCUUUAGCCCGGGUGGAGGUAUUUGCUGUUAAGCAACCUGUCCGAGUACUCAAUGGCUAGAGCUGGCGAGAUCCGGCGAUCGACGGAGAUGGAGGCGGAGGCGGGAAGGUACUUGACGAUCGUCGGAUGUAGGGUUGGAAGUUGUGACCAAAGGAAUUUGAUUCAAUCGAUAAAAAUUCCCCAAUGAUUGAGAACUGUUUUUAAUACAUCUGAACUAACUUGUAAAUAACUAAUUUACGAGGUCUCUUAAUAAAGAAAAUAAACUUUUAUUUUAAUUCGAUUGGGUUCAGUCCAUCUGGUAAUCUUGGAAGUGGCCCGGCCUUUGGCGCUUCUCAGACUGGGUUCAUCGCAGUUGAGCUGCUUUGAACCAACAGGACCGUCGUUUGGCCCCAAAUCAGACGCUGCUAGGGAUUGCUCGCCGGCGAUCCUCCCAAUGUCGGCUGAUAUUGCUCCAUAGUCGACCAACAUCAUAACAGAUUUCGACAAUGAUAAACUAGCUAAUUACUCGAAUGAACAAUGCAAUGUACAUGUAAUUCACAAUUGACUGUAAGCAACAACUGUAAUAGCUUAUUAGGGUUCUAUCUUUUAUUUUUGUAAAAGUCUUUAUAAUUUUUAUUUGAAAAAUGACAUUUGCACAGUUGAAACUGACAAGAGUCUGAACUCUGAAUCAAGAUUCGAACAGACAGGAUGAACAGUCAGAAAUCCCAGAACUCACGAGAGAUCCGUAAUUUCCAAAACCCUAAAACCCUAACUCUUGAUAACUUGAUAAGCUCUUCAAACUCCAAUGCAUCGAUCAUCAAGCUAGCUUUCGGCAGGCAGCUAACAGCACUGCGGAAC
rnacentral:lncRNA from 1 species